GCCGUCCGGCGCCUCGAACCUCCCUCCUUCUGCCGUCGCCCCCAAGCCCCCGCGAUUUCCUAGAGGUGCUCCGCUCGCUGCCGCUCGAAUUUGAACUUGCUGCUCCUUCAUCCCCGCACGACCGCUCCUCCUGCCAUCCUCGCCCACGAGCUCGUUGUGCUGCACAUGCGCCAAACAUCCUCGUCUCUGGUUUUGACUCCCUGUAACACUUGGUAAGAUAGCAAAUUCUUACAGUGUCAGUUCAACGAAAAAAACACCAACAGUUCAUCAAUCUCAAAAUUCCCAUUUUUGGUGCGCCGCGUGUUUGCUAAAAUGUCUUAAUGCACUGGACUACUAGUUUUGAUGUGUUCAUUGUUCAUUUGUAGCUCCCUUGUGCUUGCAAAUUGCUAUAAUUUACAAUACUUAGCAUUUGCAGCACCGAUGCAUCUUCUUCGCUAUCAGUUCAAGUGAUCAAAAUGGUAUAAAAAACAAGUUGAAUAUUCCUCGUUUUGUGUCUCUUUGGAUCCAAAACAUUUUCAAUUCUAGUGUAGCUUGCUGUAAGAAAAUAUAACUUCACUGUGCAAGAAGUUCAUCUUCUAUUCUGCCCCUAGAAAGAAGUUUGUCUUGUAAAGGUUGAAGCUAAUGGGCUAGGAAGCUUUAUAAGAAAUUGAUUUGCCUCUUCAUUGAAAAAGUUUGGUUUGCCUGUUCCGUGAAAAUGUCUUGCUAAAGAAAUAUCUCUUGUGCACUUAUUUAUUCGCCUGAAUAUUUGGUUUGAUUCUCAGGUGCGAAAUGUCUUGCUAAUCAAAGUUUGGUUUGAUUCUCAGGUGCGAGAAAUAUCUCUUGUGCACUAGUGGUUGGCUGCUCCCAGCGGUAAAUGUAGUCGGAUUCAGCAGCUAGCUCUUCCUCGAGCAACCAUUUGGAGAACUUUAUUGUCUUCUUGUGGUGGUGAUUGAUUUUAGGAUCUGUAAAUUUGACGUUGGUAGCUAGCUUAUGUAUGGAACCUGCAAGUUCAAUAUUGGUAUUAGAUUCAGUUUUUGUUGUAUAAAUGUCCCAAUGUUCACAUUUAUUUGGGUAAAAUUUUAUUUUAGUUCUGCUACAGAAACCAUGCAGGUUCAGUGAUGAUGAUACCAUAAGUUCGGAAAAGAAAAUUUAUGUAUAUGAUGAGAUGAUUGCUACUUCUUCAAAGAAGGUAUAGUACAUGACAGCUUGAUG
rnacentral:lncRNA from 1 species